AACCCCUCGCUGCCUGUUGCCACCACGAGAGGUGGGGACGUCAGGCGGGACCGCCGGUGACAAACCGGAGGAAGGUGGGGACGACGUCAAGUCAUCAUGGCCCUUAUGUCCUGGGCUACACACGUGCUACAAUGGCCGGUACAGAGCGCAGCGAGGCCGCGAGGCGGAGCGAAUCGCUUAAAGCCGGUCCCAGUACGGAUUGGAGUCUGCAACCCGACUCCAUGAAGUUGGAAUCGCUAGUAAUCGCGCAUCAGCAUGGCGCGGUGAAUACGUUCCCGGGCCUU
rnacentral:rRNA from 1 species